rnacentral:tRNA from 1 species
GGGGGUGUAGCUCAGCGGGAGAGCAUCUCGUUCGCAACGAGGGGGCCACGGGUUCAAUCCCCGUCACCUCCACCA